UACGUAGGGGGCAAGCGUUGUCCGGAUUUAUUGGGCGUAAAGAGCGUGUAGGCGGCUUUACAGGUCCGUUGUGAAAACUCGAGGCUCAACCUCGAGACGCCGGUGGAAACCGUAAAGCUAGAGUCCGGAGGAGGAGAGUGGAAUUCCUGGUGUAGCGGUGAAAUGCGCAGAUAUCAGGAAGAACACCCGUGGCGAAGGCGGCUCUCUGGGACGGUACUGACGCUGAGACGCGAAAGCGUGGGGAGCAAACAGG
rnacentral:rRNA from 1 species